rnacentral:rRNA from 1 species
AGCGAACGCUGGCGGCAGGCCUAACACAUGCAAGUCGAACGAACUCUUCGGAGUUAGUGGCGGACGGGUGAGUAACACGUGGGAACGUGCCUUUUGGUUCGGAAUAACUCAGGGAAACUUGUGCUAAUACCGAAUGUGCCCUUCGGGGGAAAGAUUUAUCGCCUUUAGAGCGGCCCGCGUCUGAUUAGCUAGUUGGUGAGGUAAAGGCUCACCAAGGCGACGAUCAGUAGCUGGUCUGAGAGGAUGAUCAGCCACAUUGGGACUGAGACACGGCCCAAACUCCUACGGGAGGCAGCAGUGGGGAAUCUUGCGCAAUGGGCGAAAGCCUGACGCAGCCAUGCCGCGUGAAUGAUGAAGGUCUUAGGAUUGUAAAAUUCUUUCACCGGGGACGAUAAUGACGGUACCCGGAGAAGAAGCCCCGGCUAACUUCGUG